CAGUUCAUUUCCGGCCCAAUUUUAAAGGCAAGGCAAGAAGUGAAGCAGCAGCAUAAGGAGGAUGAUCUCAGCAAUAGCAGCUCUCAAAUCCUCAAACGAUAACGGAGUUUUCAACGGUACAAACAAUGAAUUGCCGAGUUCUGCCCAGAAAGGGUUGUUCAAUUAAAAGCAACUGCUGAUGCUCCUAUACUCGAGCAAAACAAAUUCAAGGCAUGUCCUUUCAUCAAUUUUUAGCUAGAUGUUUAUCUAUUUAUAUGUUUGAAGUAUAUUACUAGGUGGGUUCAGUAUUUCUUUUUGUUUAUAUGCUGGUGGGUUGGUGAAAUAAGCUUAAAUUCAGAUGCCCAUUUAGGUAUCAUAUCAAUCUAGAUGGCUUUAUAAAUGUAACCAAUUAUCCAUGGAUCCCUCCCUUUCAAAACAAGGAACUUCAAUUGUCUUGAGAAAAAAAAAAUACAGUUUGAUUCCUAUUAGUAUUCUAAUGUUGCUAAUAUGGUGCAUAUCUGCAAACAUAGUUACUAUGGUGGUACUCUUGAGUUAUGGUACAAGUGUGUAACACAUGGUAUGCCAGUUAAUGAAAUAUAGGAUACGUGCUAAUUUGAUUACUGGUAUGCUUAAUGAGCAUGCUAGUUUAAUUUGGGACAUGUAAAUCAUAUUUAUUCAAUAUGAUAUAAUGUUUAAAUAAUUAAAUGUAUAACUAAUAGUUGAUAACUUUUAUACUUCCUAAAAAAAUUUAAAUUUUAACGAAUAAAAUAAUCAUUUACACUCUCAAGUUAAUACGGACACCUAUUCCACUAACAUUUAGAUCCAUUACCUCACUUAAAGUGUUUCAAAAUGCACUCUCUUCUUUUGCUAUGGCCUUUCUUUCUCCUCUUCCACCUCUUCUUUUUCUUCUUGUGCCUACAUGCUAUUAGUACAUACAUAUUCGUUGAUCUUUUUCUUUCUUCCCUUCCCAUCUUUUCACUUCUUGUUUGGCAACUCGGAUCACAUCUUCUAGUCAUUUGGGAUGCAAGAGUAUCGCGUUUUGGUAUGCACUACCUAGAUCGUGGUUCCCAAGGGAUGAGAGAAUCUGGUAACUAUGUUUGCAAAUUAGACCUCCUGCAUUGUGUGUAGACUUGUAAAAUUGAGUAAAUCUUUUCAAAGCUUCUCACAUGAAGCUUAGAAAUAAAUUAGCAUAGUGAGUUACCUUGUUGAAUUGCAGACCGAGUUAAUUAUAGGCUUUUUUCCUCUUCUUUAAUGUUGAGCUUUUAGAUACCUUGACCAAAAAGAGCAUGAUCAAUGGCAGAUGUUUUUCAUUCUUUUGUGAUGAACUUCUAGAAGGAGCCUUCAGAAAUGUAUUUUAAACUUAAAGCAGCAGUUAUUAGAAGUCUUUUAACUUUUUCUUUUCUGAAAAUUCCUGUAUAACAACUGGUUUAACUUAUCCUGGACCGAUGUUUGUCAAAUGAAACUCUCUUCCAUUUCAUGAUUAUCCUUUAACAUGGCAGAUACCUGGAACCGAUAUAUUUGCUAAGGUGAUUGACGUUUUGUGGAGACAACUUCACAGAGAGACAGUGGUAGCUUAUCUUUGAUGCUUUUCUUCAUCUCUUAUCCUCUCUCUUUCUCUCCCCCUCCAAAAAAACUCCAAUCUAUGGGCUUUAAAAUACUAAUAUUCUUUUUUCUUUUUUCAUUCAAUGUUUUGUUAGUUUGUAUACAUGAACAGUGCAUUCUCUCCAAACCCUGAUGAAUUGAUUAUUGAUCUACUCUGUAAGUUUGUGCUUUUAUUACUUUUUACCUUGGAGUUUAUGAUCCCUUUUUCCUUGAGGGCCUUUACCUCUAUAUAGAUAUCUGCUAUCUGUAAAAGAUCAUCAAGACAUGUGUCGAGUAAAAUUUAUACUUCUCUCAUUUCCUCCUUUUGUCCUUGAUGAAUGAGAGCUGAUUGUGUUAGAAGAGCAUUGAUGGAUUGCAGCAUUAUGUUCAUGGCAAAUUAUGAAUACCAAAUGAUGGAAUUCUUUUAUAUAUGGCUUAUAGUAGAGAGACACCUUGUGUAACUUAUUUGUAUAUUUGUUCCUAUCUUGGAUUUAGGAAAAUGGUUUCUUAAAUAUACUAACACUUUUAAGCAUGAAGCAUUUUGUUAGCAGGGAAGGGAGGUAGAAAUGUGCGUGGCUCACAUGAAAUAGUAGUUAGUUUUCAUAUACUAUACCUGACUGCCCAUUAGAUGAGCUAUGUACUCAAGCACAGAAUUUUCAUAUAAAUGAAAAUAGAUUGUCUGACGUUGUCUGUGGUAUGUCCACCUCUGAUGUCAGUCCUAUUAUAAGUAUGUAGUAUGUAUUGAUUUGUAUUCACCUAUCAUCCCUCUUGUGAUGAACUAGCUAACAUUUCAUGCUUUACAUUGAUAAAACAAAUAUGUGAAUUAAUAGCAAAUGCAAAUGGAUCUAUGUCAAUGCAGUAAGUUGGUUUAUUUGUUGGUGAGCGGAGUUCUAUGAAGUUCUUUGAAUUUUCUCUUAGUUUUCCAUCAAAGCCAAGAGUUCUGAAGUUUUGUUAUUUGGUUUAUUUAUUUAAUAAAUCUUUCAGCAUUAGGAUGAUUUCUAUUUGCUGAAAUGCUUUCAACCUGGAUCAAGUUUGAUAUUUCAUUAUGCAUUUCUCCAUCUUAUAACCAUUUCUACUUUAAUGAUCCAGAAUUUUGGUGUUGAUGGUAAACUGCUGGUCAAUUAUGCUUGUUCCAUGGCAUGGGCUAAUUGUCACUCAGGGAUAUGAUGUUUUUGCACUUUUCAUAAUGUAAGAGCCUUCUAGUGUUACAUGGUUUAUCAAGGUUCCUACUUCCUUUGUUGAUUUAGCCAGGAAUGAGUGCUCAUUUCAUUGCCUUUGAUUCAUUAGUGUACUGGGUUGGAGCACUUGAAUCAUUAAAUUUUACUUCAACAUGAUUCGAGUAGACAAGACUUGUAAUUUCUCACAUUAUUCAAUUAUAAAACAUUUGGCCUCCCUACUGUUUGAAUGCAGUUUGACUUAAAGAUGAGUAAUUCUUUAACAUGUGCUGUUAAUCUUUGUUUGCUCGAAUAUUCUUCAGGUGUCAGUGCCAGCUAUCUAUCUAUGUAUCUAUAUAGUGCUGGAUUAAAUGCUCCUAAUCCAUAGCUGUCUGAAUGAUGACUAUAAGGUGGACUUGCAAAGGUCAUAUGUAUGAUUUGUUGUGAACUAAAUUUCAAUCCUGAAUGAUCAUUGGAGGAACUCUCUGAGUGUUGCCGGAUUCUUCUUUUGAGCAAUUUCAACCAAACUAGCUGCUGACCCUUAUGAAAUGCUGCUUGAAAGAUGAAUGUACUUAAGUUGUGGGCUCCGUGAGAUAAAAAUUGAUAGCUCAAGACAUCAAGUUCUGUCAUUUGGUUGAUUCUGGCUUGGUCUGAGGCUCUGUGCAACUUCUGGAAUCUGGGUAUCUUUACAGACACCUACUUGCUUUUUUUAAAACUAGUCAUCAAGUAUAAAGCUUUCUCAUAUUUCAAGCUUUUUGAUGUAAAAUGUGUCCAAGAACAAUACAUCUUUGAUGCUGUCCAAUCAUGAACUAAAAAACAAAGCAAGUUUCAAUUGGCACAGUUCUCAAUUUGCCUGUAAUGAAACUGUACUCUUAAAACAGGUUCUGAUUCAUUGAUUCUUUAGUAUAAAUAUCUAAUAUCAUCUUUUGAUUGUCCAUUUUCUCCUA